rnacentral:rRNA from 1 species
UACGGGGGGGGCAAGCGUUGUUCGGAAUUACUGGGCGUAAAGGGCUCGUAGGCGGCCAACUAAGUCAGACGUGAAAUCCCUCGGCUUAACCGGGGAACUGCGUCUGAUACUGGAUGGCUUGAGUUCGGGAGAGGGAUGCGGAAUUCCAGGUGUAGCGGUGAAAUGCGUAGAUAUCUGGAGGAAUACCGGUGGCGAAGGCGGCAUCCUGGACCGGCAUUGACGCUGAUGAGCGAAAGCUAGGGGAGCAAACGGG